GACGAACGCUGGCGGCGUGCUUAACACAUGCAAGUCGAACGGAAAGGCCCUGCUUUUGUGGGGUGCUCGAGUGGCGAACGGGUGAGUAACACGUGAGUAACCUGCCCUUGACUUUGGGAUAACUUCAGGAAACUGGGGCUAAUACCGGAUAGGAGCUCCGGCGGCAUGGUGGGGGUUGAAAAGUUUCGGCGGUUGGGGAUGGACUCGCGGCUUAUCAGCUUGUUGGUGGGGUAGUGGCUUACCAAGGCUUUGACGGGUAGCCGGCCUGAGAGGGUGACCGGCCACAUUGGGACUGAGAUACGGCCCAGACUCCUACGGGAGGCAGCAGUGGGGAAUAUUGCACAAUGGGCGGAAGCCUGAUGCAGCAACGCCGCGUGCGGGAUGACGGCCUUCGGGUUGUAAACCGCUUUCGCCUGUGACGAAGCGUGAGUGACGGUAAUGGGUAAAGAAGCACCGGCUAACUACGUG
rnacentral:rRNA from 1 species